rnacentral:lncRNA from 1 species
UCGAACAUAUUAUUGACCGAUCAUUCAAAUUGCAUUGUAGACCUCCACGUCAGGUGAAUGCACUCAAGUUGAUCAUUUAAACAUUAUUCAGACCACAUCUUCCCCUCAGGGUUUUCCGGCAAGUAUUUUAUUUAAUGUUGUUUCUUAAUUAGUAUACAUUCAUGCAGGCAUGGACCUAUAAACAUUUUUCCAGUAUUGGCGGGCAGGAGUAUGAGCUUGAGUACACGGAGAUAGAGCCUCGUGCUAACUAUUCAUUCCCACUAAAUGACAUCCUCUUACAAAAUUGUAUCGAGAGCGUAUGGAUCGGCUACUAACACAAGAUGUGUGGUUCGGCUCUUACGACACUCGCUGUGCCACAAGUCUGUUGAACGACAUAUGCUUUUGUUCUAGUUUGAUCAUAUGCAGAUUGUGUAUGGUCUGAUAUUAUCCCGAGUGAGUCUUGCAUCAGUUUGCAUACGUGCAUGGUAU